UACAGAGGUCUCAAGCGUUGUUCGGAUUCAUCGGGCGUAAAGCGCACGUAGGCGGAUUGUUAAGUCGGGGGUGAAAUCCUGGAGCUCAACUCCAGAACUGCCUUCGAUACUGGCGAUCUCGAGUUCGGGAGAGGUGAGUGGAACUGCGAGUGUAGAGGUGAAAUUCGUAGAUAUUCGCAAGAACACCAGUGGCGAAGGCGGCUCACUGGCCCGAUACUGACGCUGAGGUGCGAAAGCGUGGGGAGCAAACAGG
rnacentral:rRNA from 1 species